rnacentral:misc_RNA from 1 species
ACCUGCAAGAUACAACCUCGCGUGCUCACACAGAUUGUCUGAUAGAAAGUAAAGAAGCAGGGUUGUCUGCGAAAGCGAAGUCCCUUUCGUCUAGAGGCCCAGGACACCGCCCUUUCACGGCGGUAACAGGGGUUCGAAUCCCCUAAGGGACGCCACCUGCUGGUAAUGAGUGAAAGGCGUUACCGAUUGAUAUCUCAAAACUGACUGUAAAGUCACGUUUGAGAUAUUUGCUCUUUAACAAUCCGGAACAAGCUGAAAAUUGAAACAGACAUGCUGCUGCAUUUCUCCGUAAUAAGAAAUGCACGGUAUGUCAGAGUCUCUCAAACUCGCAGCACGAAGACUUCUUCGGGUUGUG